rnacentral:rRNA from 1 species
UACGUAGGGGGCAAGCGUUGUCCGGAUUUAUUGGGCGUAAAGAGCGUGUAGGCGGCUUUACAGGUCCGUUGUGAAAACUCGAGGCUCAACCUCGAGACGCCGGUGGAAACCGUAAGGCUAGAGUCCGGAAGAGGAGAGUGGAAUUCCUGGUGUAGCGGUGAAAUGCGUAGAGAUCGGGAGGAACACCGGCGGCGAAGGCGGCUGCCUGGACCGGCCCUGACGCUGAGGCGCGAAAGCUAGGGGAGCAAACAGG